CUGGACACAGCUCUGACGUCUGGAUUGGUCUGUUCAGUAAAAUCGACUGGAAAUGGUCUGAUGGUUACACUGGGAUUGGAGCUGACUACAGAAACUGGAGAGAAUAUCAACCAUCAUGGUUUUAUGAAGUUGACUUUUGUGUGGGAUCAUAUUCUUAUGGGAGUUGGUUUGAUGGUGACUGCACAGAAAAUCGACCAUUUUUGUGCUACACAGACAAAGGUUUAAGCUUGGACCCCGAUUAUGUUUAUGUGAAUACAACAAUGAAUUGGUCCAAUGCUCAGAUCCACUGCAGGGAAAACUUUAUUGACCUGGCCACCAUAAAAGAUAGCACACAGGACCAGCAGGUCCAGAGCCUGAUACCUGAUGGUGACGAACCAUGGAUUGGUCUAUAUAGAGAUCCAGAUCAUCACUGGUCUGACCGGAGAAGCGUCCUCUUUACCAACUGGGAUUCUGGUUUUGUUCGCUUGAACUUGAGGACAGUCGUGUGUGGUGCUACAUCUACUGGGAGGUCAGGGAGAUGGAAGCUUUUACCCUGUGAAAGAAGAUUACCAUUUGUCUGUUAUGAUAGUGUGGUAAAACAGGUAGUGAAGCUUAGAUUUCACUUCAAGGACCCGGUGGAUAUGGAGGACCCUGUUCUAAAAGGGAAAAUCCUGACAAAGGCAG